rnacentral:misc_RNA from 1 species
GUUCUUGGUGCGAGUUUCGUACUUAGAGAUUUACAAUGAAGAAGUCAGGGACCUGCUACGUCAGGAUCAGUCGAUGCGUCUGGAAGUAAAGGAGCGCCCCGACGUGGGUGUAUAUGUUAAGGACUUGCUAACACAUGUUGUACAUAAUGCAGAUGAAAUGGACAGAAUCAUGACACUCGGGAACAAAAAUAGGGCUGUCGGAGCAACCAAUAUGAACGCACACAGUUCACGAUCACACGCUAUCUUCACAAUAACCAUAGAGUGUGCAGAGAGAGGUGUAGAUGGACAACAACAUUGGAGAGUCGGGAAGCUUCACUUAGUAGAUCUUGCAGGUUCAGAGCGACAGAGCAAAACAGGGGCAACAGGUCAAAGACUUAAAGAAGCUAGUAAAAUUAAUCUAUCCCUUUCAACUCUCGGUAAUGUAAUUUCGGCUCUGGUGGAUGGAAGAUCAACACAUAUUCCGUACCGAAAUUCUAAGCUAACUAGACUUUUACAAGAUUCUUUGGGAGGCAACUCAAAGACAUUAAUGUGUGCAAAUAUAGGACCAGCCAGUUACAACUAUGAUGAGACAAUCAGCACGCUGCGCUAUGCCAAUCGAGCAAAGAACAUCUGUAACAAAGCCAAGAUCAACGAGGACCCGAAGGACGCUCUUCUGCGCCGGCUCCAGGAUGAGAUAAAGACACUGAGAGGUCAACUUGAAGUCAGCGAAAAAGUUAGAGAAAAAGAUGAAUCAGAGGAGGACGAUUCUGAUGAAGAGGAACUGGAAGGUGAGGAAAAGCCAAAGAAGAAGAAGAAGAAAUUGAAGGAAGAGGAGGUUGCUGCCAUCCGAAAGAAAAUUGAUGAGGAGCGCAAGAUGUUAGCAGAGAGGAAGGACCUUGAGGAAGAAGAGAGGAAUAAGGUGAAGAGCGACCUAGAUAGACAUGAAAAGGAGCUGAAGAAGGCACAGAAAGAACAGGAGGCCCUGAAACAGAGGUUGCAAGGACUAGAACGCAAAAUUCUUGUUGGUGGUGAAAAUUUGUUAGAGAAAGCAGAGGAGCAGGAGAGACUAUUAGAAGAAUCAGCCAAAGAGCUUGAGGAGAGGAGGCGGCACGAGGAACAGCUCCGACAUGCCAUCACACAAAAGGAGGCAGAAAGAAUCGAUAUGGAAGAAAGGUAUACCACCCUACAAGAAGAGAAUGCUGGUAAGACUAGAAAGCUUAAAAAGGUGUGGACUCUUCUGAUGGCCGCUAAGUCUGAGUUGGGAGACAUGCAGGCAGAACAUCAAAGGGAAAUGGAGGCUCUUCUGGAAUCUGUUCGGCACCUGUCUCGGGAACACAAAUUGCAUCAGCUGAUCAUUGAUUCUUUCAUUCCAUUGGAGUAUCAGGACAUGGUGGAGCGUUAUGUUCACUGGAAUGAAGAUAUAGGGGAAUGGCAGCUGAAGUGUGUUGCUUACACAGGCAACAAUAUGAGGAAACAACUGGACAAUGGUGAUGCAGAAAAGGAAAAUCAGAACCAAGAUGGGGAUAUGUGGCAGGUCUACAAGACAUACAGUCCAGAGGUAUACACAAAACCUGCUGCCAAACCACUUAGAAAGAAAUCAGGCAUUCCGAGACCCAAACAUGCCAGGUCUGCGAGGAAGGCCGACAAGUAGCAACGACCCAUGUCCAAAUUGCCUGUUUUCAAAGGAUGAGUUAGAUGUUCAAGGGUUGAAGACUUGCAGUAUUUACAGAGGUGGAUAAGAGCCAUAGGAUUCCAGCAACAAGAGGCAAACCUAUAUCAUUUUGUUAUUCACGGUGACCAAGUGUAUUCUGAAGACAUCUUUCAUAUAAUAGUCUGUAUAGUGUAAAUUGAGAAUCACAAGCAUCUUUAUUGAUGUAAAAAUAUAUAUAGUCUCAGAUUAUUGUAAUUAAAUAAUUUUUGAAAUUUACUUUACCAUGAAUCUAGUAUAUGGUAAUGAACAUGAAUUAAAUGUGGAAUCAUGCAAAGAUUUAUCAUUAAGAGAUGAUCUGUGAUUAGGAAAACAGCAGCUAACUAGACAGGUUCACAUGCUCACAGAUACAGUUGCUUAGUGAUAGUUUGUUCCUUUGUACUUAUGGAAGUGAAGAUUGUAUGUUAAUUGAUCCAAAAUGAUUUAUGUAAUACAUGAAAGUUGAAAGAAUAAUUCUUUAACCUUGUCUAAUUUCAGUAACUAGAUGGCAAGUUUCAGUCUGAAAACAUAUAUUAUUAAUAAGAUAUUGAGUUAAAUUCCUGUCCCAUUCAGUGCUUCAUUAAUAAAUCAUAUUAAUCACAGAAUAGUAUGAACAAAGCUGAAUUUAUAACUAUGCCACUUUUCACAGGAAUGCAGAGUAUACAGCAAGUUACAUUAUUUAUCUGAUGAUAAUUAAUAAUCUGAUGAGACAAACACAUCACAUGCAUAACUCACAUUAAGGCAAUGAUAAACUUGUUGGUUACUUUGGUUUAUAUUUCUCUAGUUUGUUUCUUUACUUUUUUUAUUUUUAUAGUUUUGAAUUUUAACCCCCCCCCCCCUAUUUAGCUUUAAGUAAUUUGAAUUUUGCUGAUAGUGAAGUGUCUGUAUUAGUCAUGGAUAUUAGAAGCAAGAACUGAAUUAUUUCAAUACUUUGUGUGUAUUUAUAAUGGACAGAAUUCUUUACUGCAUGAAGAUUAAAUCAAUUGAUGAGAACCAAAUCAUGAUCUCAUUUAAAAAAAAUAGUUGCAUCGUCUCAGUUAAAUGUUUACAUUAGUAUGCCAUUAUCAUGUAUUUAUAUAUCUAAAUAGCUAUUUAACUUAAACAAUUGGUAUGAGAUAUUAUGAUACUAUGUUCAAGUCUUUAACCAGUAAUAGUCAAUUUAUCUAUGUUUUCAAUACAAUGGUACUAAUGUUAAUUUUACAUAAUUAUUUAGAAGUUUUGUUUGGAGGAAAUAAUAAUGUACAAGUGUAAAGAUGUCCAAGACAAAAAUAAAAUUUGAAAAUUUAA